rnacentral:misc_RNA from 1 species
UCCGGUUUGGCACCGGCAGUCUCCCUAGAGUUCCCGGCAUGAUCCGCUGGCAACUAAGGACAGGGGUUGCGCUCGUUGCGCCACUUAAGGCAACACCUCACGGCACGAGCUGGCGACAGCCAUGCACCACCUGUGCAGGCUCCGAAGAGCGCCGGCUUUCGCCGGUUUCACCCUGCAUGUCAAGCCCAGGUAAGGUUCUUCGCGUUGCGUCGAAUUGAACCACAUGCUCCACCGCUUGUGCGGGCCCCCGUCAAUUCCUUUGAGUUUUAACCUUGCGGCCGUAGUCCCCAGGCGGAGCACUUAAUGCGUUAGCUACGGCACAAAAGGGGUCGAUUCCUUUUACAGCAAACGUGCACCGUUUACGGCUAGGACUAC